rnacentral:piRNA from 1 species
UCCUGGGCUGCCUGACAUGCUAGCUGGGA